UAGUAAAUAUCGGGAUUGUCAUUUUUCGCGGAACUUUCACUUUCCGCGAAAAACCAAUGCCAGCAUGGCCAUAAAACACUACAUACAAAUCGAAAUCUAAAAAGCGCGGAACUUUCAUAUAUUUUCCGUCGGAGCAAUUAUUUUUCAACCCUGUAGAAAAAGCGGGCUCAAUUAAUCGCGCGGAACGUUAUUUAUCUACUCUGUACAAAUAGUAGUGUUUAAAAUCGCGCGGAGAUUGUAGAAUGCUAUUUUAAGAAGUCUAUUAAAGAGAGAAAAUCCAGUAAAUACCAGAUCCAAAAAGCGCGGAACACAAAUAUCGUCCGCGAAAAUUAAGCAUUGAAUUACUGUACAAAUCUCGGGUUGUUAGGUGUUAGAAUCCCUAGUUACCCGAAAAAUUUGAUUGGAUCCGAUACUUAGAAAUAACCAAUCAGAUACUUUGUAACAAAUGCAACACAAUCAGUGCGUUCAGUGUGUGUUGCCAGUAAUGGUUGAAGAUAUGCCAAACAAAUUGUGCCUCUCUAUACAGACAGAUUUCAGGUCUCAAUUUCGACUUCAAAGGUCAACAUAUCACUGAUAUCAGGAAUUCUGUACAACUGUGGAACCAUGUAUGGUACGUGACCGCACAAUGUUGGUUGGCAAAAGGAUAUUGGAAUAAGCAAAGGGACUCAACAUUACACAGUCAUUUCAACAUGUAGAGUCUUGUCAGCAAUGAUGGAGCAGUACUUCAGAUUUCCAGAAUCUCGUCAUGAGCUGAAGAUCAUUGCCUAUGGAUUUCAUGAAUGAUGUAGAAUGAUUGGACUGUUGAUGGAACCCACAGUGCAUGUCCUGCUUCAACAUCUGAGCAUAGGUCCUUGUUUAUCAGCAGUUUAGUUCUUCAAGCAGUCUGUGACAGUAACUUGAAAUGUUUGGACAUAUGACCUGGAUGGCCAAGUUCUGUGCAUGAUGCCCAUUUAAAUAGGAACGGCCCAGUGGCGCAUUAAAUGGACAUUUUUCGAAUGUUCUCGAGGAUUCAGCUUACCGCCUGACAAGAAAUCUUGCUUUUUGUUCAGUAUCGAGGCCAUGGACAUUUGUAUCAUUUGCAAAAGAUACUGCGAUAUUUGUGCCUUUGUUCAUGCUUUAUAGUUGAUUAACAAUUGGAAGCCAUAACCUGUUUUAUAGGAUGGUGUUAGUGGGACAAUGAAUUUUGUAAAGAUUUAAAGACUGGAAAAGAUAAUUAAAAGUCAAAAGAGUUCUGCUAUUGUUAAGCAUGCUUUAUUGAUUUGUAAUGUUAGAAAGAUAGCAUUAUUAACAGAAUAAAAUGUCCAUAAUUUGAA